CCUACGGGAGGCAGCACUGGGGAAUAUUGGACAAUGGGGGGAACCCUGAUCCAGCCAUGCCGCGUGUGUGAAGAAGGCCCUCGGGUUGUAAAGCACUUUCAGUGAGGAAGAACGCCUGGUGGUUAAUACCCAUCAGGAAAGACAGCACUCACAGAAGAAGCACCGGCUAACUCCGUGCCAGCAGCCGCGGUAAUACGGAGGGUGCGAGCGUUAAUCGGAAUUACUGGGCGUAAAGCGCGCGUAGGUGGCGUGAUAAGCCGGUUGUGAAAGCCCCGGGCUCAACCUGGGAACGGCAUCCGGAACUGUCAAGCUAGAGUGCAGGAGAGGAAGGUAGAAUUCCCGGUGUAGCGGUGAAAUGCGUAGAGAUCGGGAGGAAUACCAGUGGCGAAGGCGGCCUUCUGGACUGACACUGACACUGAGGUGCGAAAGCGUGGGUAGCAAACAGGAUUAGAUACCCUGGUAGUC
rnacentral:rRNA from 1 species